UCUCAAGCGUGAGGUAAGAGCAUUUGGUGGAUGCCUUGGCACAUACAGGCGAUGAAGGACGUGGCACGCUGCGAUAAGCGUCGGGGAGUUGUGAGCAAACUUUGAUCCGGCGAUUUCCGAAUGGGGAAACCCACCUUCACCAUUUCAUUCCGGUUCCGGCAACGGGGUCUGAGUGAGGUGGAUAAGGUAUCCCAGGUUGAAUAAAAUAGACCUGGUGAAGCGAACCCGGGGAACUGAAACAUCUCAGUACCUGGAGGAAAAGACAUCAACAGAGAUUCCGUUAGUAGUGGCGAGCGAACGCGGACCAGGCCAGUGCCUUCUCUUCAACUAGCAGAACACUUUGGAAAGAGUGGCCAUAGCGGGUGACAGCCCCGUAUGCGAAAGUGAUGGAGAAGGACUCGAGUAGGGCGGGACACGUGUAAUCCUGUCUGAACAUGGGGGGACCACCCUCCAAGCCUAAAUACUCGUAUGUGACCGAUAGCGAACACAGUACCGUGAGGGAAAGGUGAAAAGCACCCCGAUGAGGGGAGUGAAACAGUACCUGAAACCGAAUGCUUACAAGCAGUUGGAGCUCCAGAGGGAGUGACAGCGUACCUCUUGCAUAAUGGGUCAGUGACUUAAUUUAUCGAGCAAGCUUAAGCCGUUAGGUGUAGGCGCAGCGAAAGCGAGUCUGAAUAGGGCGACUGAGUUCGAUGAAUUAGACCCGAAACCCGGUGAUCUAGGCAUGACCAGGUUGAAGGUGCGGUAACACGCACUGAAG
rnacentral:rRNA from 1 species